AACGCGAAGAACCUUACCAAGGCUUGACAUAUAGCGAAAAGUGGCAGAGAUGUCAUGUCCGCAAGGGCGCUAUACAGGUGGUGCAUGGUUGUCGUCAGCUCGUGUCGUGAGAUGUUGGGUUAAGUCCCGCAACGAGCGCAACCCACGUUGUUAGUUGCCAGCAUUUAGUUGGGCACUCUAGCAAGACUGCCGGUGUUAAACCGGAGGAAGGUGUGGAUGACGUCAAGUCCUCAUGGCCCUUAUGACCAGGGCUACACACGUGUUACAAUGGCCGGUACAAUGGGUUGCCACUUAGUGAUAAGAAGCUAAUCCCUCAGAACCGGUCUCAGUUCGGAUUGUAGUCUGCAACUCGACUACAUGAAGUCGGAAUCGCUAGUAAACGCAGAUCAGCUACGCUGCGUUGAAUGUGUUCCCGGGUCUUGUACACACCG
rnacentral:rRNA from 1 species